UACGUAGGGAGCAAGCGUUGUUCGGAUUUACUGGGCGUAAAGGGCGCGUAGGCGGCAGAUCAAGUCGGCUGUGAAAUCUCCGAGCUUAACUCGGAACUGUCAGCUGAUACUGUUUUGCUAGAGUGCGGAAGGGGCAAUCGGAAUUCUUGGUGUAGCGGUGAAAUGCGUAGAUAUCAAGAGGAACACCUGAGGUGAAGACGGGUUGCUGGGCCGACACUGACGCUGAGGCGCGAAAGCCAGGGGAGCAAACGGG
rnacentral:rRNA from 1 species